UGGGGAAUAUUGGACAAUGGGGGGAACCCUGAUCCAGCGACGCCGCGUGAGUGAAGAAGUAUUUCGGUAUGUAAAGCUCUAUCAGCAGGGAAGAAAGAAAUGACGGUACCUGACUAAGAAGCCCCGGCUAACACGUGCC
rnacentral:rRNA from 1 species